rnacentral:rRNA from 1 species
UACGUAGGGUGCAAGCGUUAAUCGGAAUUACUGGGCGUAAAGCGUGCGCAGGCGGUUAUGCAAGACAGAUGUGAAAUCCCCGGGCUCAACCUGGGAACUGCAUUUGUGACUGCAUAGCUAGAGUGCGGCAGAGGGAGAUGGAAUUCCGCGUGUAGCAGUGAAAUGCGUAGAUAUGCGGAGGAACACCGAUGGCGAAGGCAAUCUCCUGGGCCUGCACUGACGCUCAUGCACGAAAGCGUGGGGAGCAAACGAGG